GUCUACAGCCAUACCACCCUGAACGCACCCAAUCUCGUCUGAUCUCGGAAGCUAAGCAGGGUCGGACCUGGUUAGUACUUGGAUGGGAGGAAGAUAACAAGAAAUGAAGAAA
rnacentral:rRNA from 1 species